GACGGACGCUUGCGGCGCGCCUAACACAUGCAAGUCGAACGGAGCGUGCCGAGCGGAAGCCUUCGGGUGGAAGCAUGGCAUUGCUUAGUGGCGAACGGGUGAGUAACACGUGAGCAACCUGCCUUAAAGUGGGGGACAACAUUUGGAAACGAAUGCUAAUACCGCAUAAGACCACGGUGUCACAUGACACAGCGGCCAAAGGAUUUAUUCGCUUUAGGAUGGGCUCGCGUCUGAUUAGCUAGAUGGUGGGGUAACGGCUCACCAUGGCGACGAUCAGUAGCCGGACUGAGAGGUCGAUCGGCCACAUUGGGACUGAGAUACGGCCCAGACUCCUACGGGAGGCAGCAGUGGGGAAUAUUGGGCAAUGGGCGAAAGCCUGACCCAGCGACGCCGCGUGGAGGAAGAAGGUUUUCGGAUUGUAAACUCCUGUCUUCGGGGAAGAUAAUGACGGUACCCGAGGAGGAAGCCACGGCUAACUACGUGCCAGCAGCCGCGGUAAAAC
rnacentral:rRNA from 1 species